ACUCAGAGAAGGAUGAUUUUAGGACAGUGUAUUUUAUUGGUACUGAUUUCAUAUUCUUAUGGACAGUCCCUGACCUCCUCUGCUUCUGUAGUAAAGAGACCUGGAGAGUCGGUCACUCUGUCCUGUACUGUCUCUGGAUUCUCAAUGAGCAGCUACACCAUGCACUGGAUCCGUCUGAAACCAGGACAAGGACUGGAGUGGAUCGGAUACAUUGACAGUGGCACUAGCACUGCAUUCGCUCAGUCACUGCAGGGCCAGUUCUCCAUCACUAAAUACACCAGUAAAAACAUGCUGAACCUAGAAGUGAAGAGUCUGAAAGCUGAAGACACGGCAGUUUAUUACUGUGCACGAGUAGAUGGACAGGCCGGGCCUGGCCUGCGCCGCCGGGAUGCUCGCGCCACCUCCGCGGGAUACUGCGCGUAUCGCUGGCUGAAGAGGAGCAGCGAUCUUCAAGCUGCUGAACUUCAAGCUGCUCACGGAUCUGUUGUUGAUGAUGUGGAGGAAGCCGAGACCACCGAGGUCACUGAUCCAAGCGCCCAGCUCCUUUGCUCUGAACACGACCCUCAGAUGUCAGCUGAUGCCCUGCAUUCAGACUCUCUAAAGACCAAGUGA